rnacentral:rRNA from 1 species
UACGGGGGGGGUAAGCGUUGUUCGGAAUUACUGGGCGUAAAGGGCUCGUAGGCGGCCAACUAAGUCGGACGUGAAAUCCCCUCAGCUUAACUGGGGAACUGCGUCCGAUACUGGAUGGCUUGGAUUUGGGAGAGGGAUGCGGAAUUCCAGGUGUAGCGGUGAAAUGCGUAGAUAUCUGGAGGAACACCAAAUGGCGAAGGCAGCACUCCGUGGACGUGACUGACGCUGAGACGCGAAAGCGUGGGGAGCAAACAGGG